AGAAACAAAUGGUUAAGAAUGUUUUUCGGUUCUUGAUUAAAAAUGUCAUAAAUACACAGGUGGAAGAUACCGAAGGAACCGAAGUUCCAGGUGCAAGUAAACCAAUAUCAGCCUUGACUUUUAACUGAAAGACAUCCAGUUUAGCUGUUGGCAAUAGUUGAGGUCUGAUAUCAACUUUUUUCUCAAUUACUACUUCCUCCUAUCCAUGCAACUACAAAGUAUUUGAGUAUAUAUCAAAUAUUUGAUAUAGAUCUUAUGACUCCAAAUCAUGAGUCAGUUUGUUUGAAAUAGAUCUUGAGGUAUUAUCGCUUUUGAAAGAAAGUAAGUCUUACCUAAUGUGGACUGCAGUUAGUUGGUUGUCUGGGUGUCCCUGCUGUUAGUGAUCUUGUGAAGGAGGCAAAACGAGCAAAGAUGGUUACCCGGAGGCUGAACGUUGCCGGCUGUCAGUUGGGCAUCUGGAAACUUUGACAACCAAGCUCGACAUUGUGGCGACGAUAAGGUGGUUCAGGGUUAUUUAUGUCUUUUUUACAUCUUAGAUUCAAAUUUUGGGCUUAAAGAUCUUUGAUAUUUUGGGUUUAAUUUCAUAAUGAUUAUUGAGUAUAUGUUUAUUUUGUGUUAUUUGUAUGUAUUAAAUAGGCUGAAGGGUAAAAUAGUCAUUCAUUCAGGUUUAUAUAGUAUUGAUGUGUUUCUUUGGCGUCCCGUAUUGCUCUUUUUGUUUGUUAUAGACCUCUAAUUGCAACUAAUCAUUUUUAAUAAUUAUUUAUUUGAACAUUGCAUGUGACAUGAAGCAUUUGUAUUGAAGUUUUGGUGGCAAAUGCAGUAAAUAGCAACAUACUUUGAAUUUUCAC